rnacentral:rRNA from 1 species
AAUACGGAGGGGGCGAGCGUUGUCCGAAGUUACUGGGCGUAAAGCGCGCGUAGGCGGGUUGGUAAGUCCGCUGUGAAAGCCCGGAGCUCAACUCCGGAGGGUCGGUGGAUACUGCCAGUCUUGAAGGUGCUAGGGGGAGAUGGAAUUACCGGUGUAGCGGUGAAAUGCGUAGAGAUCGGUAGGAACACCAGUGGCGAAGGCGGUCUCCUGGGGCAUUCUUGACGCUGAGGCGCGAAAGCUGGGGGAGCGAACGGGA